UUUCCGUAGGUGAACCUGCGGAAGGAUCAUUAAAGAACGCCCCGUUUUUUGAAAUGGGUAAUUCUAAACCGUGUAUACAUACCUUUGUUGCUUUGGCAGGCGGCCCCUCAGGGCGUCGGCUCCGGCUGACUGCGCCUGCCAGAGGACCCAAACUAUUUUGUUUAGUGACGUCUGAGUACUAUGUAAUAGUUAAAACUUUCAACAACGGAUCUCUUGGUUCUG
rnacentral:misc_RNA from 1 species